rnacentral:rRNA from 1 species
AGAACGAACGCUGGCGGCAUGCCUAAUACAUGCAAGUCGAACGAACUCUUCGGAGUUAGUGGCGCACGGGUGCGUAACGCGUGGGAAUCUGCCCCUUGGUUCGGAAUAACAGUUGGAAACGACUGCUAAUACCGGAUGAUGACGAAAGUCCAAAGAUUUAUCGCCAAGGGAUGAGCCCGCGUAGGAUUAGCUAGUUGGUGAGGUAGACGUC